GAAUCCCGUGAACCAUCGAGUCUUUGAACGCAAGUUGCGCCCGAAGCCGUCAGGCCGAGGGCACGUCUGCCUGGGCGUCACG
rnacentral:rRNA from 2 species